AACCAUAGAAACCUGCGGAGUACCUGCGGAGGGAUCAUUACCGAGUUUACAACUCCCAAACCCCUGCGAACAUACCAAUUGUUGCCUCGGCGGAUCAGCCCGCUCCCGGUAAAACGGGACGGCCCGCCAGAGGACCCCUAAACUCUGUUUCUAUAUGUAACUUCUGAGUAAAACCAUAAAUAAAUCAAAACUUUUAGCAACGGAUCU
rnacentral:misc_RNA from 1 species